GUUAAGCCCGAUGAACCUGAAUAUCCAUUAUGGAAAAUUCAUCAUUAUUGAUUAUUAUAAUUAUUAAUUAUUAUAUUAAUAAUGUGCAUUUUUUCCAUAUAAGGACAUUGUAAUCUAUUAACAUCAAUAUAUAUAUUUAUCAAAAAAUUAUAUAACAAUAAGUUUAUUUAAAUUAUUUUGCAUUUGUGCAAUUUAACAUAAAAUAAAAUGUUUAAUAAUUUGAUAAAGUGUUGAUAGAUUUAUUAUAAAUAUAGUGCUUUAAAUAUAUAUAUAUAUAUAUUUUAUAAUAAACAUAUUUAAUCAUUGAUUUUUAUGUUUAAUUAUAUGCACUUAUAUGAUUAACAAUGCGAAAGAUUCAGGAUACCUUCGGG
rnacentral:rRNA from 1 species